GGGGGUAUAGCAUAACGGCUAAUGCGGCGGCCUGAAAAUUCGUACAUACGGGUUCGAUUCCCGUUACCUCCA
rnacentral:tRNA from 1 species